GCUUAUCUGUGCUCAGUUGGUAGAGCAUUGUGCUAACAACGCAAAGGUUGCGGGUUCAAAUCCCAGGGAAAGCA
rnacentral:tRNA from 1 species